GCCGGAGGGUUCAGAAAGCAGAGUCUGUGCAGUGAGGCUCUGCCGAUACCCCUCUCCGAGAAGAAAUGGACGGCUAAAGAGCAGCUCGGGAUUACAGACCCAAAACCGAGCUGACUGCUCCAUCCUACAACA
rnacentral:snoRNA from 1 species